rnacentral:rRNA from 1 species
AGUGAACGCUGGCGGUAGGCCUAACACAUGCAAGUCGAACGGCAGCACAGUAAGAGCUUGCUCUUACGGGUGGCGAGUGGCGGACGGGUGAGGAAUACAUCGGAAUCUACUUUUUCGUGGGGGAUAACGUAGGGAAACUUACGCUAAUACCGCAUACGACCUACGGGUGAAAGCAGGGGAUCUUCGGACCUUGCGCGAUUGAAUGAGCCGAUGUCGGAUUAGCUAGUUGGCGGGGUAAAGGCCCACCAAGGCGACGAUCCGUAGCUGGUCUGAGAGGCUGAUCCGCCACACUGGAACUGAGACACGGUCCCGACUCCUACGGGAGGCAGCAGUGGGGAAUAUUGGACAAUGGGCGCAAGCCUGAUCCAGCCAUACCGCGUGGGUGAAGAAGGCCUUCGGGUUGUAAAGCCCUUUUGUUGGGAAAGAAAAGCAGCAGGUUAAUACCCCGCUGUUCUGACGGUACCCAAAGAAUAAGCACCGGCUAACUUCGUG